GCCUAUGCAUUAGGAGGGGAGCUUCAAAAUCCAUCAUUACAAGAAGGAGGCUGAGGGAAAAUCUGACUUACCCUUUAGUCUAGCUAGACUGACUCCAUUGGUAACAGCUCAGCUUGGAGAAAAUGGGAGGAAAUGUCACGUUGUAUUCAAUCCCUCAAAUAGCUAAACAUUGGUUCCUCUUCUUUAAAGUCCUCCUCACUAAUACAGAAGGACUAAAUGACAUGACAUUGGAAAUAUGUUGUUAAUCAAUCAAAACAUAUUAAACAAGAAUCCACUGUGGGGCAGACAUUGUGGAAGUAGAAGGAAAAGAAAAACAGAAUGGGGGCAGAGGGAGUCCAUUCUUUCAAGGAUUCUACUUCCUAAUGGGAGCCUCCUAUGUUGUCUAGCCAGUAAGGGACUACCUGGCAGGAUGCCCCACUGAAGACAGAUGGCAGACCAAACAAUGAAUGGCUGGAUCUCAUGUCUGUUAAAAAAAAAGUGUUCUCUGAAAAAAAGAAAAAAAGUUGUGCCUAACACAGCAAUGCAAAGAAGCACUGGCCUGAGGGCCUAAGACCUGAGAGAAACCAGAGCAGAGCUAAUCAAAACCAAGCUGUGAGCCU
rnacentral:lncRNA from 1 species